rnacentral:rRNA from 1 species
AGUGGAUGGGGAGCAACCUAGUUGUGCGUGUGUAAAGGUAGUGCCAAGAAAAGCGGUGAUCAUGAUGAAAAUCAAUUCCCGGUACCCGAAACCGACACAGGUGGGCAAGUAGAGAAUACUAAGGGGCGCGAGGUAACUCUCUCCAAGGAACUCGGCAAAAUGACCCCGUAACCUAGGGAGAAGGGGUGCCACCGAGAGGUGGUCGCAGUGAAGAGGCCCAGGCGACUGUUUAGCAAAAACAUAGGUCUCUGCAAACUCGAAAGAGGAGGUAUAGGGGCUGACGCCUGCCCAGUGCCGGAAGGUUAAAGAAGUUGGUCAGUCUUAGGAUAAAGCUAGCGACUGAAGCCCCGGUGAACGGCGGCCGUAACUAUAACGGUCCUAAGGUAGCGAAAUUCCUUGUCGGGUAAGUUCCGACCCGCACGAAAGGCGUAACGAUCUGGGCGCUGUCUCGGAGAGAGGCUCGGCGAAAUAGGAUUGUCUGUGAAGAUACGGACUACCUGCAUUUGGACAGAAAGACCCUAUGAAGCUUUACUAUAGCUUGGAAUUGUGUUCGGGCUUCCUGUGCGCAGGAUAGGUGGGAGGCGAAGAAGGUAUUCUUGUGGGGAUACUGGAGCCAACGGUGAGAUACCACUCUCAGGAGGCUAGAAUUCUAACUUAAUUAAGGACAGUUUCAGGUGGGUAGUUUGACUGGGGCGGUCGCCUCCAAAAAGGGAGGCGUACAAAGGUUCCCUCAGACUGGUUGGAAAUCAGUCGCAGAGUGCAAAGGCAGAAGGGAGCUUGACUGCGAGAAGUACAGUUCGAGCAGGGUGGAAACACGGUCUUAGUGAUCCGACGGUGCUGUGUGGAAGGGCCGUCGCUCAACGGAUAAAAGUUACUCUAGGAUAACAGGCUGAUCUCCCCCAAGAGUUCACAUCGACGGGGAGGUUUGGCACCUCGAUGUCGGCUCAUCGCAACCUGGGGCGGAAGUACGUCCCAAGGGUUGGGCUGUUCGCCCAUUAAAGCGGUACGUGAGCUGGGUUCAGAACGUCGUGAGACAGUUCGGUCCAUAUCCGAUGUAGGCGUGAGAAUAUUGAGAGGAGCCUUCCUUAGUACGAGAGGACCGGGAAGGACGCACCGCUGGUGUACCUGUUAUGAUGCCAAUUGUAAACGCAGGGUAGCCAAGUGCGGAGAGGAUAACCGCUGAAAGCAUCUAAGUGGGAAGCCCACCUCAAGAUGAGUAUUCUGGUGUAAGGUCACGGGAAGACGACCCGUAAAUAGGCACGAGGUGGAAGUGCAGAGAUGUAUGAAGCCGAAGUGUACUAAUAGACCGUCGGCUUGACCAU